rnacentral:rRNA from 1 species
ACUCCUACGGGAGGCAGCAGUGGGGAAUUUUGGACAAUGGGCGAAAGCCUGAUCCAGCAAUGCCGCGUGAGUGAAGAAGGCCUUCGGGUUGUAAAGCUCUUUUGUCAGGGAAGAAACGGUGAGAGCUAAUAUCUUUUGCUAAUGACGGUACCUGAAGAAUAAGCACCGGCUAACUACGUGCCAGCAGCCGCGGUAAUACGUAGGGUGCAAGCGUUAAUCGGAAUUACUGGGCGUAAAGCGUGCGCAGGCGGUUUUGUAAGUCUGAUGUGAAAUCCCCGGGCUCAACCUGGGAAUUGCAUUGGAGACUGCAAGGCUAGAAUCUGGCAGAGGGGGGUAGAAGUCCACGUGUAGCAGUGAAAUGCGUAGAUAUGUGGAGGAACACCGAUGGCGAAGGCAGCCCCCUGGGUCAAGAUUGACGCUCAUGCACGAAAGCGUGGGGAGCAAACAGGAUUAGAAACCCCGGUAGUCCC